GAUGAAGAACGCAGCGAAAUGCGAUAAGUAAUGUGAAUUGCAUAAUUCAGUGAAUCAUCGAAUCUUUGAACGCACAUUGCGCCCCUUGGUAUUCCGAGGGGCAUGCCUGUUCGAGCGUCAUUAUAACCCCUCAAGCUCAGCUUGGUGUUGGGGCCUGCUGCACUGGCAGCCCUUAAAAUCAGUGGCGGCGCCAUCUGGCUCUAAGCGUAGUAAUUCUUCUCGCUAUGGAGUCCUGGUGGAUGCUUGCCAUCAACCCCCAAUUUUUCUAUGGUUGACCUCGGAUCAGGUAGGGAUACCCGCUGAACUUAAGCAUAUCAAUAAGCGGAGGA
rnacentral:misc_RNA from 1 species